rnacentral:tmRNA from 1 species
GGGCUUGUACUGGUUUCGACAGGGGUUUUGCAGCUGGUGAAGCUAUCCGCAUGCAAUGCGUUAAAUGGCAAAUCUAAAUAUAAACGCUGAAGAUAAUUUAGCAUACGCUGCCUAGUUGCAGCCGUCCGGCCUAGUGCACCUACACAUUAGAAUCCGGGCGUCGACUAUGUAGGAAACGACACAUGCAAAGCUUUGCGCAUGUGGGCGUAAUAUGAAGCUACUAAAGCCGGAAGGGUGUUCGUUCCCGUCCGGUAGAGGGAAUGAAAAAUAACGGACUAUGAUAGUAGAAGAACAGGGAAUAGGCUUUUGGACAGGGGUUCGAUUCCCCUCAGGUCCAC